UUGCGGGACCCCCAACCGGAGAGCCUCCGGUUAUUGGUUCACCCCGGCAUUUCACCGGUCCCGCCACAUAACGACGUCAGUUUGCCGACUUCCCGAUUUUAAGAGGAAGGUGAUGGCGCCUCAGCUCGUCCUGAGGCGUCCUGUAAGUCAGGCAACCAGCGAGACCCACUUCUAGUGCCACAAUCCCUUAGGAGUUGGGACACUGAGACUUCCGCUCUAACGAGAAGAACGGGAACGGUAGGUCAGUAUGCCCCGAAUGGACCGGGCAACACGCGGGCUACAAUGGCCGUACAGAGGGAUGAACACCGAGAGGUGACGCUAAUCUCUAAACGCGGUCGUAGUUCGAUUGCGGGCUGAAACUCGCCCGCAUGAAGCUGAUUCGGUACGUAAUCGCGUAUCAUAAUGUGCGCGGGAAUACGUCCCUGCUCCUUGCACACACCGCCCGUCAAAGCACCCGACGUGGGGUCCGAUGAGGCCAUCAUGCGAUGGUCGAAUCUUGGGCUCCGCAAGGGGGCUUAAGUCGUACACCAAGGACAGCACAGAAUCCCCGGGCCAAUGGAAACCGGACCUUUUCUCUUCGAAGUCCAAGAAACAGCAUGCCUU
rnacentral:rRNA from 1 species